rnacentral:rRNA from 1 species
UACGAAGGGGGCUAGCGUUGCUCGGAAUUACUGGGCGUAAAGCGCACGUAGGCGGCUCUUUAAGUCGGGGGUGAAAUCCUGGAGCUCAACUCCAGAACUGCCCUCGAUACUGGAGAGCUCGAGUCCGGGAGAGGUGAGUGGAACUGCGAGUGUAGAGGUGAAAUUCGUAGAUAUUCGCAAGAACACCAGUGGCGAAGGCGGCUCACUGGCCCGGUACUGACGCUGAGGUGCGAAAGCGUGGGGAGCAAACAGG